rnacentral:rRNA from 1 species
CAUGGCUCAGAUUGAACGCUGGCGGCAGGCCUAACACAUGCAAGUCGAACGGUAACAGGAAGCAGCUUGCUGUUUCGCUGACGAGUGGCGGACGGGUGAGUAAUGUCUGGGAAACUGCCUGAUGGAGGGGGAUAACUACUGGAAACGGUAGCUAAUACCGCAUAACGUCGCAAGACCAAAGAGGGGGACCUUCGGGCCUCUUGCCAUCGGAUGUGCCCAGAUGGGAUUAGCUAGUAGGUGGGGUAACGGCUCACCUAGGCGACGAUCCCUAGCUGGUCUGAGAGGAUGACCAGCCACACUGGAACUGAGACACGGUCCAGACUCCUACGGGAGGCAGCAGUGGGGAAUAUUGCACAAUGGGCGCAAGCCUGAUGCAGCCAUGCCGCGUGUAUGAAGAAGGCCUUCGGGUUGUAAAGUACUUUCAGCGGGGAGGAA